UUUUUUUUUUUUUUUCCUCUGCUUCAAUUGUUUUUUAAAUUGCUGUGGUAUUUUGACUAUACAAAGGUAUUGAAAUAAGAUUUUAAUUGAAUGCUAAGAGAAUGGAAGUCCAGAAAAAAACUUUUUUUAAAUUAAAAAUUGAAGUUUUUUUAAUUUGUGCAGAAACAAUUAUUUAUAUUAAAGACAAGAAGACCCUAUGAAUUUAUUAAAUUUUUAUUUAAUAUGUAAUUACUAUUAGAAAAAUUUUGGCUGGGGCGGCUAGAAAAUAUUAUGAACUUUUUAAAAAUAAAAUGAUCCAUUAUUAAUGAUUUUAUGUUAAAUACUCUAGGGAUAACAGCGUUAUAUUUUUUGAUAGAUCAUAUUGACAAAAAAGUUUGCGACCUCGAUGUUGGAUUAGGAUACUUUUUUAAUGAAGAUAUAAAAAAAGAAGUUGUCACCA
rnacentral:rRNA from 1 species